rnacentral:rRNA from 1 species
UGCAACUCGACUACAUGAAGCCGGAAUCGCUAGUAAUCGCGAAUCAGAAUGUCGCGGUGAAUACGUUCCCGGGUCUUGUACACACCGCCCGUCACACCAUGGGAGCCGGAAAUGCCCGAAGUCAGUGGCCCAACCGCAAGGAGGGAGCUGCCGAAGGUGGAGCUGGUGACUGGGGUGAAGUCGUAACAAGGUAUC